ACGAACGCUGGCGGCGUGCUUAACACAUGCAAGUCGAACGGAAAGGCCCUGCUUUUGUGGGGUGCUCGAGUGGUGAACGGGUGAGUAACACGUGAGUAACCUGCCCUUGACUUUGGGAUAACUUCAGGAAACUGGGGCUAAUACCGGAUAGGAGCUCCUGCUGCAUGGUGGGGGUUGGAAAGUUUCGGCGGUUGGGGAUGGACUCGCGGCUUAUCAGCUUGUUGGUGGGGUAGUGGCUUACCAAGGCUUUGACGGGUAGCCGGCCUGAGAGGGUGACCGGCCACAUUGGGACUGAGAUACGGCCCAGACUCCUACGGGAGGCAGCAGUGGGGAAUAUUGCACAAUGGGCGGAAGCCUGAUGCAGCAACGCCGCGUGCGGGAUGACGGCCUUCGGGUUGUAAACCGCUUUCGCCUGUGACGAAGCGUGAGUGACGGUAAUGGGUAAAGAAGCACCGGCUAACUACGUG
rnacentral:rRNA from 1 species